AUUGAACGCUGGCGGCAGGCCUAACACAUGCAAGUCGAGCGGAUGAAGGGAGCUUGCUCCUGGAUUCAGCGUCGGACGGGUGAGUAAUGCCUAGGAAUCUGCCUGGUAGUGGGGGAUAACGUCCGGAAACGGGCGCUAAUACCGCAUACUUCCUGAGGGAGAAAGUGGGUGAUCUUCGGACCUCACGCUAUCAGAUGAGCCUAGGUCGGAUUAGCUAGUUGGUGGGGUAAAGGCCUACCAAGGCGACGAUCCGUAACUGGUCUGAGAGGAUGAUCAGUCACACUGGAACUGAGACACGGACCAGACUCCUAAGGGAGGCAGCAGUGGGGAAUAUUGGACAAUGGGCGAAAGCAUGAUCCAGCCAUGCCGCGUGUGUGAAGAAGGUCUUCGGAUUGUAAAGCACUUUAAGUUGGGAGGAAGGGCAGUAAGUUAAUACCUUGCUGUUUUGACGUUACCAACAGAAUAAGCACCGGCUAACUUCGUG
rnacentral:rRNA from 1 species